rnacentral:rRNA from 1 species
AUUGAACGCUGGCGGCAUGCCUUACACAUGCAAGUCGAACGGCAGCACGGGAGCAAUCCUGGUGGCGAGUGGCGAACGGGUGAGUAAUAUAUCGGAACGUGCCCGGUCGUGGGGGAUAACGUAGCGAAAGCUACGCUAAUACCGCAUACGAUCUAUGGAUGAAAGCGGGGGAUCGCAAGACCUCGCGCGAUUGGAGCGGCCGAUAUCAGAUUAGGUAGUUGGUGAGGUAAAGGCUCACCAAGCCGACGAUCUGUAGCUGGUCUGAGAGGACGACCAGCCACACUGGGACUGAGACACGGCCCAGACUCCUACGGGAGGCAGCAGUGGGGAAUUUUGGACAAUGGGCGCAAGCCUGAUCCAGCAAUGCCGCGUGCAGGAUGAAGGCCUCGGUUGUAAC